rnacentral:rRNA from 1 species
GACGAACGCUGGCGGCGUGCUUAACACAUGCAAGUCGAACGGGCUCUGUCUGGCUGUGUGCUGGGUGGGGUUAGUGGCGAACGGGUGAGUAAUACGUGAGUAACCUGCCCUCUUCUUUGGGAUAAGCCUUGGAAACGGGGUCUAAUACUGGAUAUUCCUGUCUGGUCGCAUGGCUGGGUGGGGAAAGUUUUUUUCGGUGGGGGAUGGGCUCGCGGCCUAUCAGCUUGUUGGUGGGGUGAUGGCCUACCAAGGCGUCGACGGGUAGCCGGCCUGGGAGGGUGGCCGGGCACACUUGGACUGGGAUACGGCCCCGACGCCUACGGGAGGCAGCAGUGGGGGAUAUUGCACAAUGGGCGCAAGCCUGAUGCAGCGACGCCGCGUGGGGGAUGACGGCUUUCGGGUUGUAAACCUCUUUCGUCGGGGGACAAGGCUCUGCUUGGUGGUGGGGUUGAGGGUACCCGGUGAAGAAGCGCCGGCUAACUACGUG